CCCAUUUUUUUUUCCUUUUUCUUUUUUCUUAUGGGAUUCUUGGCAUGUGAAGUGAUGAGAGGGUCACUCACAGGUGGAGGCUCCUGCAUCCCCUGUUUUGGUCACUUUUUUGGCACUUUAUAACAUUCAAUCAAAUUUUCUAGGAAAAAAAAAAAGAAAAAGAAAUAAAAGAAAAUUUUGAUGAAAUGGAAGGGUUAAAUUGAACAAGUAUGAUUUGAGUCGCAAAAUAUGGUACCCUUUUUCUUUAGAUCAGUCACAACUGACACUUGAAUCUCUACAAUCAAUCUAUUUUAUAAGAAAUAUCAUUUUUCUGUUGGCCUCCGGUGAUUUUUAAAAUAUCGAAGGCUCCUUGAAAAUUGAGAGGGGAGAUCUUCAGGUUCAAAUUGAAUGUUAUCGAGAUCUCCUCUACUUAGGCUUGUGUCGUUGGAGUUGGGGUGCCAUGAAAGUUAAUGAUUUGGCUUUUUUAUUCAAAAGAAUUAAAUGUUUGCUUUGUGAAUACAUUCUAGAUCUUAUUCAACCCCAUCUUCUACGUUUCUAUGGAUUAAUGUCUUUCCUCUAUGGCCUGAUGCUACUAAUAAAAUAUGGUUUACUUGAAUAGUCUCCGUGGAUUUAGGUUCGGAAAAUCUUUAUGUUUUGAUCUAUUACUUUGGAUCUUCUUAUCAAUACAUUCUGCUUACAUAUUAUGUUAUUGUUUUUUCUUAUUUGUAGCAAAAAAAAAUAAAAAUUCUCCUGUCGAAGCAUUCUCAGAGUAGAUAUUGAUGCUGUUUAGAUUUUGAUUCUCAAAUUGUGGCUUCUGUCUUCUGCAGUUACGGUCAGGCAAUCAAGGUAAACUGGGCAUAUGCCAGUGGCCAGAGGGAGGUUACUUCAGGUUACUAUUUGCUUCCAUACUUGUUUCCUUUCUCUUUUACUGUUCUUUAUUUGUUGUUUCUGUUGGCACACCAUGGUGCUUCUCUCUACUAAUCAUUCUUGAUGUUGUUUUCAUGUGUUUCAGGCCACUUCAACAUCUUUGUUGGCAACCUAAGUCCUGAAGUCACUGAUGGGACUCUGUUUGCAUGCUUUUCAGUGUAUACCAGCUGUUCAGAUGCAUGGGUUAUGUGGGAUCAUAAAACUGGGUGCUCAAGAGGAUUUGGCUUUGUUUCUUUCCGUAAGCAGCAGAUGGAGGAGGUCAAGAGAAUGUAAGUGCCGAGGCCCCUGAAAACAACCCUGCAUUUUCAACCGUCUAUGUUGGUAAUCUUGCACACGAGGUAAAAUAGAAGAACUGAGACAUUGUGUUGGCUGCAUGGUUUGUACAAUUGA